rfam:Sorghum bicolor cultivar BTx623 chromosome 1, whole genome shotgun sequence.
GUAGUCGAAUUCGCAUUAAUCCAUAUGUAUUGGAGUGGAUUGGAGUAGAACUAGAAUUAAAUUCCACCUCAAUCAUCUCCAAUAUAUGUGGAUUGAGGUGAAUCCAACA